GUAGGGUGCGAGCGUUAAUCGGGAAUUACUGGGGCGUAAAGCGUGCGCAGGCGGUUAUGUAAGACAGAUGUGAAAUCCCCCGGGGCUCAACCUGGGGAACUGCAUUAGUGACUGCAUAGCUGGAGUACGGCAGAGGGGGAUGGAAUUCCGCGUGUAGCAGUGAAAUGCGUAGAUAUGCGGAGGGACACCGACGGCGAAGGCAAUCCCCUGGGCCUGUACUGACGCUCAUGCACGAAAGCGUGGGGAGCAAACAGGAUUAGAUACCCUGGUAGUCCACGCCCUAAACGAUGUCAACUGGUUGUUGGGUCUUCACUGACUCAGUAACGAAGCUAACGCGUGAAGUUGACCGCCUGGGGAGUACGGCCGCAAGGUUG
rnacentral:rRNA from 1 species